UUCAUCGCUCAGGUAUGGCAAUCUCUAUCACAACUGUUACUCUUUUUAUAUGAACAUUGUUCAUAGUUCUGAUCAUAGUUCAGAGGUUGCGAUUUCAUAGUUCUGAGGUUGCGAUUUCAGAGGUUGCGAUUUCAUAGUUCUGAAUCUUUUUAUUUUCAUCAUUUCAGAUUUCUGAGGUUACGAUUUCAGAGGUUGCGAUUUCAUCGCUCAGGUAUGGCAAUCUCUAUCACAACUGUUACUCUUUUUAUAUGAACAUUGUUCAUAGUUCUGAUCAUAGUUCAGAGGUUGCGAUUUCAUAGUUCUGAGGUUGCGAUUUCAGAGGUUGCGAUUUCAUAGUUCUGAAUCUUUUUAUUUUCAUCAUUUGAAAUUUCAGAGGUUAAUCCCCAACCCAUUUCAGUCCAGGGCUUCACACCCAUUAAGUGUUUGUUUGAAUGGGUCUGAGAGGGUGUUCCAUUUUUUAACUGAAUGGAUAUGGGUUCAUUUAUUGCUUAUUUUUUGCUUGAAUCUGAAUUUUUUGUGGGUUUGGUUGUAAAGUUGCAAUUCAUAAAGAUUUGUUUAGCCAACUCAAAUUACACAGGAUACUAUGUUAAAUAGGGUUUUGGACAAAUAACAAGAGAGCUCAUAUAUUUCUUAGUCUGUCUGUUAUUGGUACAAUUGACGUGGUGUGGACCUUGCCCUCUAUUUCUUUCCAUAAUGACAUCUUAUUCUGAAGGUUGAAGAAACCAUCAGCGGUAAAAAUCAGUACAUGUGUGCAUGUAGGUGAGUAUUUUAAUGAAGCAACUAUGCUGUUAAAUAACCAGCAUGACUCUGUGUGCUGCAAUUGCUAAUCAAAGAACAAACAAAUUGUUUUCUCACUUUUGAUAAUGCCUUCCAGCCCUAAAUCUGGAUAUUACAACAUCUCACAGUCAGCUUCCACCAGAAAAUAAAGAAUCCAUAAUUUAAUAAAAUUACAGUCAAUUAAUAUAACAAUAUCCUAUAUAUUGCUGCA